rnacentral:misc_RNA from 1 species
AGAAGUAAACAUGAUUUACAAGCUGUAGCAACCAACAAGAAGCCAUUCAACACUUUUAACUCCAAGAAUUAAAACAAUGAUGUGUCCUAACUAUGAAAGUUGCACUUAUCAAAUAAAAAGAUAGUAAAUUCUAAGAGUAUCUAUAUUAAGGCCCUUGUCAGUUAUGGUAUGCAACUAUGUUCAUGAUCUGCAUUUUCACAGAGAAUCAAUAAGCAAGUAAGUCCUAACACAGUGGCAAGAGAGAGAAAUAACAUGCUUCUCCAACAUGAAGAAAUAUCAAGGUCAUGUGGACAGAAAGAAGAAAUGUCAAGGUCAUGCGGACAGAAAAGCUGAGAGUUGAAACAAUAAUUUAAAAUCUGCAGAAUAGGAAUAGGGGAUCAGCACCUUCAAGCCCUCACACAAUCGUUCAGUGUCGUGCAAGCAGGUAUCACCCAAAAAACACGUGGGAAAUAUUCAAUAAUUACGUAGGCCACUCAGAAACAGAAGAGAGAGAGAGAGAGAAUAAAAACCAGAUAUGUUACGUUACUCACCAAGCUAUAGAAUAAGUGGACAAA